rnacentral:rRNA from 1 species
GACGAACGCUGGCGGCGUGCUUAACACAUGCAAGUCGAACGGAAAGGCCCUGCUUUUGUGGGGUGCUCGAGUGGCGAACGGGUGAGUAACACGUGAGUAACCUGCCCUUGACUUUGGGAUAACUUCAGGAAACUGGGGCUAAUACCGGAUAGGAGCUCCUGCUGCAUGGUGGGGGUUGGAAAGUUUCGGCGGUUGGGGAUGGACUCGCGGCUUAUCAGCUUGUUGGUGGGGUAGUGGCUUACCAAGGCUUUGACGGGUAGCCGGCCUGAGAGGGUGACCGGCCACAUUGGGACUGAGAUACGGCCCAGACUCCUACGGGAGGCAGCAGUGGGGAAUAUUGCACAAUGGGCGGAAGCCUGAUGCAGCAACGCCGCGUGCGGGAUGACGGCCUUCGGGUUGGAAACCGCUUUCGCCUGUGACGAAGCGUGAGUGACGGUAAUGGGGAAAGAAGCACCGGCUAACUACGG